GACGAACGCUGGCGGCGUGCCUAAUACAUGCAAGUCGAACGCACUCUCGUUAGAUUGAAGAAGCUUGCUUCUGAUUGAUAACAUUUGAGUGAGAGGCGGACGGGUGAGUAACACGUGGGUAACCUGCCCUAAAGUGGGGGAUAACAUUUGGAAACAGAUGCUAAUACCGCAUAAAACCUAGCACCGCAUGGUGCAAGGUUGAAAGAUGGUUUCGGCUAUCACUUUAGGAUGGACCCGCGGUGCAUUAGUUAGUUGGUGAGGUAAAGGCUCACCAAGACCGUGAUGCAUAGCCGACCUGAGAGGGUAAUCGGCCACACUGGGACUGAGACACGGCCCAGACUCCUACGGGAGGCAGCAGUAGGGAAUCUUCCACAAUGGACGAAAGUCUGAUGGAGCAACGCCGCGUGAGUGAAGAAGGUUUCGGAUCGUAAAACUCUGUUGUUGGAGAAGAACGUAUUUGAUAGUAACUGAUCAGGUAGUGACGGUAU
rnacentral:rRNA from 1 species